AACCAAGGUGAGGGCAAAGAGGACGGUAAGGGAGAAAGAAAGAAAGAAGGGAAGAUCCCCAGAGACGUGAAGAUGCAUGGAAUAACACGUGAAGAGAGGAAACUUCGGGCCUGUGGUCAAAAUGUGUUCACCACGGCAGACAACUGCUUGGGUGACAGCUUUGGCCUCUGGAUGAAUUCUCCUUGGCGAGCAAUCGUCCCACCUGUAGGUGCCUUCAUGAUCGUCUGUGUGCAGGGCACCAAGCAGGCCAUCUAAAGCCACUAAUCUCAAAGAGAGCUUACCCAGGGACAGGACUUUCCAAAAGGAAAGGAGCACAAUAGAAGAGAAUGGCUGCUGCUAAGUUCCAUCCAACAGGGUACAAGCCAGGCACUGAGCUGGGCAUUGAGGAUGAAGAGAUGAAACACAAUUCUAGCAUCUAAAUAGACCUUGGUUGGUGAGUGGCCUUGGGAAAGUCAUUUGCAUCUCUCUGAGUCCCUGUGAAAUCAUGAAGGAAAAAAGUGCUAACAAUGUGAGAACUGAUGAUUAUUGUCAUAUGGACUCUUCAUUUUACACUAAAGGAAGUUGAGUUCCAGAGUGGGAUAUCAGACUCAAGGCCCAGACUUCACUUCUGGUCUCCUGACUUCCAAGUGAACAGUGUUGCAGCUUCCCUGACUGCAGUUAUAGGAGAAGACAGGGAGGAGAUAAAGAUGAGAGUGCCUCGGGAAGAGCAGGGAUGGAGGAGACAACCUGAGUCUUCUGAUCCAAAGGAAGCCAGGAUGUGGAGCCAGGAGAGAAGGGGCAUUCAAAGGGCCUGGGAGACCCUUGGUGAAAACAAUCAGUUGGUUUCAACAUCCCAGAGAGAUUCUCAAUCAGGAUAAAGCAAAGGCAUCCAUGAAGACUUUGCUUCCUUCUUCUAGUAGCUCACAGAGACCAAAGUUGGCACACAGCACUCUCCUAACACUAAAGACUCUACAACUCCUUCUUC
rnacentral:lncRNA from 1 species